GCCUGGCUGGCUCAGUCGGUUAGGUGUCUGACUUUGGCUCAGGUCAUGAUCUCAUAGUUCAUGGGUUCAAGCCCUAUGUCAGGCU
rnacentral:tRNA from 1 species